UCUGUUUGAUCAUGGCUCAGAUUGAACGUUGGCGGCACGCCUAAUACAUGCAAGUCGAACGAGAAAGCACUUCGGUGUGAGUACAGUGGCGGACGGGUGAGUAACGCGUAGGAAUCUACCUAGUAGUGGGGGACAACUCGAGGAAACUCGAGCUAAUACCGCAUACGCUCUUAGGAGGAAAGUGGGGGAUCUUCGGACCUCACGCUAUUAGAGGAGCCUGCGUUAGAUUAGCUUGUUGGUGAGGUAAAGGCUCACCAAGGCGACGAUCUAUAGCUGGUCUGAGAGGACGAUCAGCCACACUGGAACUGAGACACGGUCCAGACUCCUACGGGAGGCAGCAGUAGGGAAUCUUGGGCAAUGGGCGAAAGCCUGACCCAGCGAUGCCGCGUGUGCGAAGAAGGCCUUAGGGUUGUAAAGCACUUUCAGUCGUGAAGAAAAGCUACGAUUUAAUAUGUCGUGGUCUUGACGUUAGCGACAGAAGAAGUACCGGCUAACUCCGUGCCAGCAGCCGCGGUAAUACGGAGGGUACGAACGUUAAUCGGAAUUACUGGGCGUAAAGCGCGCGUAGGCGGUUUGAUAAGUGGGAUGUGAAAGCCCCGGGCUCAACCUGGGAACUGCAUUCCAAACUGUCAAACUAGAGUGUGGUAGAGGGCGGUAGAAUUUCCUGUGUAGCGGUGAAAUGCGUAGAUAUAGGAAGGAAUACCGAUGGCGAAGGCAGCCGCCUGGACCAACACUGACGCUGAGGUGCGAAAGCGUGGGGAGCAAACAGGAUUAGAUACCCUGGUAGUCCACGCCGUAAACGAUGAGAACUAGCCGUUGGGGCCUUUAAGGCUUUGGUGGCGCAGCUAACGCGAUAAGUUCUCCGCCUGGGGAGUACGGCCGCAAGGUUAAAACUCAAAUGAAUUGACGGGGGCCCGCACAAGCGGUGG
rnacentral:rRNA from 1 species